rnacentral:rRNA from 1 species
UACGUAGGGGGCGAACGUUGUCCGGAUUUAUUGGGCGUAAAGAGCGUGUAGGCGGCCAGGUAGGUCUGCUGUGAAAACUCGAGGCUCAACCUCGAGACGUCGGCGGAAACCAUCUGGCUAGAGUCCGGAAGAGGAGAGUGGAAUUCCUGGUGUAGCGGUGAAAUGCGCAGAUAUCAGGAAGAACACCUAUGGCGAAGGCAGCACUCUGGGACGGUACUGACGCUGAGACGCGAAAGCGUGGGGAGCGAACAGG